AGAGUUUGAUCCUGGCUCAGGACGAACGCUGGCGGCGUGCCUAAUACAUGCAAGUAGAACGCUGAAGAGAGGAGCUUGCUCUUCUUGGAUGAGUUGCGAACGGGUGAGUAACGCGUAGGUAACCUGCCUUGUAGCGGGGGAUAACUAUUGGAAACGAUAGCUAAUACCGCAUAACAAUGGAUGACACAUGUCAUUUAUUUGAAAGGGGCAAUUGCUCCACUACAAGAUGGACCUGCGUUGUAUUAGCUAGUAGGUGAGGUAAUGGCUCACCUAGGCGACGAUACAUAGCCGACCUGAGAGGGUGAUCGGCCACACUGGGACUGAGACACGGCCCAGACUCCUACGGGAGGCAGCAGUAGGGAAUCUUCGGCAAUGGGGGCAACCCUGACCGAGCAACGCCGCGUGAGUGAAGAAGGUUUUCGGAUCGUAAAGCUCUGUUGUAAGUCAAGAACGGGUGUGAGAGUGGAAAGUUCACACUGUGACGGUAGCUUACCAGAAAGGGACGGCUAACUACGUGCCAGCAGCCGCGGUAAUACGUAGGUCCCGAGCGUUGUCCGGAUUUAUUGGGCGUAAAGCGAGCGCAGGCGGUUUGAUAAGUCUGAAGUUAAAGGCUGUGGCUCAACCAUAGUUCGCUUUGGAAACUGUCAAACUUGAGUGCAGAAGGGGAGAGUGGAAUUCCAUGUGUAGCGGUGAAAUGCGUAGAUAUAUGGAGGAACACCGGUGGCGAAAGCGGCUCUCUGGUCUGUAACUGACGCUGAGGCUCGAAAGCGUGGGGAGCGAACAGGAUUAGAUACCCUGGUAGUCCACGCCGUAAACGAUGAGUGCUAGGUGUUGGAUCCUUUCCGGGAUUCAGUGCCGCAGCUAACGCAUUAAGCACUCCGCCUGGGGAGUACGACCGCAAGGUUGAAACUCAAAGGAAUUGACGGGGGCCCGCACAAGCGGUGGAGCAUGUGGUUUAAUUCGAAGCAACGCGAAGAACCUUACCAGGUCUUGACAUCCCGAUGCUAUUUCUAGAGAUAGAAAGUUACUUCGGUACAUCGGUGACAGGUGGUGCAUGGUUGUCGUCAGCUCGUGUCGUGAGAUGUUGGGUUAAGUCCCGCAACGAGCGCAACCCCUAUUGUUAGUUGCCAUCAUUCAGUUGGGCACUCUAGCGAGACUGCCGGUAAUAAACCGGAGGAAGGUGGGGAUGACGUCAAAUCAUCAUGUCCCUUAUGACCUGGGCUACACACGUGCUACAAUGGUUGGUACAACGAGUUGCGAGUCGGUGACGGCGAGCUAAUCUCUUAAAGCCAAUCUCAGUUCGGAUUGUAGGCUGCAACUCGCCUACAUGAAGUCGGAAUCGCUAGUAAUCGCGGAUCAGCACGCCGCGGUGAAUACGUUCCCGGGCCUUGUACACACCGCCCGUCACACCACGAGAGUUUGUAACACCCGAAGUCGGUGAGGUAACCUUUUGGAGCCAGCCGCCUAAGGUGGGACAGAUGAUUGGGGUGAAGUCGUAACAAGGUA
rnacentral:rRNA from 1 species